rnacentral:rRNA from 1 species
UGGGGGAUAUUGCACAAUGGGCGAAAGCCUGAUGCAGCGACGCCGCGUGGGGGAUGAAGGCUUUCGGGUUGUAAACCUCUUUCGCUAUCGAACAAGGCCCGCUUAGGGUGGGUUGAGGGUAGGUGGAGAAGAAGCGCCGGCUAACUACGUGCCAGCAGCCGCGGUAAUACGUAGGGCGCGAGCGUUGUCCGGAAUUAUUGGGCGUAAAGGGCUUGUAGGCGGCUUGUUGCGCCUGCUGUGAAAACGCGGGCUUAACUUCGCGCGUGCAGUGGGUACGGGCAGGCUUGAGUGUGGUAGGGGUGACUGGAAUUCCAGGUGUAGCGGUGGAAUGCGCAGAUAUCUGGAGGAACACCGAUGGCGAAGGCAGGUCACUGGGCCAUUACUGACGCUGAGGAGCGAAAGCAUGGGUAGCGAACAGG